rnacentral:rRNA from 21 species
UGAACCUGCGGUAGGAUCAUU